rnacentral:misc_RNA from 1 species
UUUCCGUAGGUGAACCUGCGGAAGGAUCAUUACCGAGUGAGGGCCCUCUGGGUCCAACCUCCCACCCGUGUUUAUCAUACCUAGUUGCUUCGGCGGGCCCGCCGUCAUGGCCGCCGGGGGGCACCCGCCCCCGGGCCCGCGCCCGCCGAAGCCCCCCUGAACGCUGUCUGAAGAUUGCAGUCUGAGCGAUUAGCUAAAUCAGUUAAAACUUUCAACAACGGAUCUCUUGGUUCCGGCAUCGAUGAAGAACGCAGC